CCAGUCUUCCAGGCGUACCUUGUGUAGGGCACAUUGCCGCUCAAAAUCAGCCAGGUACCCAUCAAUCUCUCCUUCUGUCUCACUAAAGGAUUUAAAUGCUGCAAACUGUACCUUCUUUCUUUCCACCGGGACUGCUGGAACUGGGACUGCUGCACCACCUCUUUGGCGUAGCAGGUUGGCCUCCACAGCGUCCAUGACCCGGCUGAUGAUCUCUGCAGAUGAGUUGGGACCAUAAUGGGCCAGCCUGAUUCUUACCGCCCGGUC